rnacentral:rRNA from 1 species
CCUACGGGUGGCAGCAGUGGGGAAUAUUGCACAAUGGGCGAAAGCCUGAUGCAGCAACGCCGCGUGAAGGAAGAAGGGUUUCGGCUCGUAAACCUCUAUCAACAGGGAAGAAAGAAAUGACGGUACCUGCAUAAGAAGCCCCGGCUAACUACGUGCCAGCAGCCGCGGUAAUACGGAGGCUGCAAGCGUUAUCCGGAAUUACUGGGUGUAAAGGGUGAGUAGGCGGCAUGGUAAGCCAGAUGUGAAAGCCUUGGGCUUAACCCGAGGAUUGCAUUUGACACUGUCAAGCUAGAGUACAGGAGAGGAAAGCGGAAUUCGUAGUGUAGCGGUGAAAUGCGUAGAUAUUAGGAAGAACACCAGUGGCGAAGGCGGCUUACUGGACUGAAACUGACGCUGAGGCACGAAAGCGUGGGGAGCGAACAGGAUUAGAUACCCCAGUAGUC